rnacentral:lncRNA from 1 species
CAGCUCACCCAUUGUCCAGUCAUUAACCACGAUCAAGGAGAUUUCUGUUUUCUCCUACUUUUAGAGUGAGCACUGGAAGGAAUCUCUCUCACACACACACCACCCCCGCCAUAUCUUUUUCUGAGAGAUGGAAGGAAGAGAAGAAGGAAGAAGAGAUCUUUGACCUGCUGGGAGGAGCAGCAUCUUGCCAUGAGGAGGGUGUAAUUAUCCCACACCCAGUCCACACUCCCAACUCCCAGAUACCGUCUAGAGGAGGGACACCCACAGCCAAAGGGGCGCGCGAGGUACAAAUGGAGUCCGCCUACACUCUGACAGCCAUGAACCGAUUCCAAGGACAUUGCUGUGCGCUGAGAAGCUGACACAGAGCAGAAUAAAGCACGAAGAUGACCAAACA